UCCCAUAUUAUUAAAUUCAGAUUUGAUUAUUAUAAAUCUAUUUGUCUAAAUAUUAUUGUUGGCUUUAGUUGAAAAGUGAAUUGAUUAUGUGAAUAGUUUUAUGUGAUGAUACUUGGUCUAUGGAUUAAUAUGGAUUAUACUGAUUAUGCGUCCUCCUUCUUUCUCUGAUUCCGAGGACGGAAUCCCUAUAAGGAGGGUAGAUUGUAAUGACCCGGAUUUUUAAAAUUUAUUUAUUAUUAUAAAAAUGAUUUUUUUUUCAAAGAAGGGAAUAAGAUUUAAUAUUUUAUUCCAGUUUAAUGAGUUUCAAGGUUUUAUAUUUAAACCCCGGGUUAUUGUGUUAUUGAUAAAUGAUUAUAUUUUUUUAAACUGAUUUUCAUAUAUUGUUUUGAAAAUUUUAGAUGAUUAUUAUGUGAAUAUAUGUGUGAUGUGAGUAAGUGGUAUUGGUGGAUUUGUUGGUUAAUUAAUUAUGGUUAAUUAUGAGUAUUAUAUGAUUAAUAUAUGAAUUUUUGUGAAUUUUGUGUUAUCUAGUUUAUUGAGCUGAAUACUCGUAUGUGUUCGUAUUUGAGAGAUUUCAAUUUCUAUAUGCUCAGGAGAAAAUAUAGUUUAUUUGGAUAUUUUCAUAUCGAUUUAUGGAAUGUUAGAUGAUUUUAUAAUCGAUUUACGGAUUUAAUUGCGUAUAUUUAUAUUUAUUUAUUAAUUAUUGGACUUCCGUAAAACUGUUCACUCGUAGCGAGGUGGCAAAUUUUCUUCCCGGAAGUUUCAACAAAACUCACCUUUAGCCUAAUUUCAAUAUUCCGGACAUUUUUCGUGUUUUGACUUUUUCGAUCCGGAGUACGGUUUUCCCUGGAGUCGGUCCGGCGGAGUUUUCGGGUACUAAAAUUUGUCGAUAAUUAUCCAGUUUGUCUCGAUAAACGUGAACUGAGAUAUUUUCAUCAUCCUUAUCAUGUAAUAAUGGCAGUGGGACCCGCAGACCAAUAAUUGAGUUAAAAAGCCCCGUUUUGAUGAUUAUCUCGAAAACCAGUACCGAUUGGACCCCGCUUUAUUAGUAUAAAGCUAUUAAAUACGUAUUUUCAUGUCAUAAACGAUCCAAAGGGGUACCAAUUAUUUGUAAAUAUAAAUAUACCUUUCUAGAGCUUAUUUUCACCCGUAAAAUCAUUUCACCAGUUUCUCUGCACGAAUACCGAGAGAAACCGAGCGGUGUUCUUCGUGUUCUUCGUAAUCAAACGUGGAUUUGAAGGCGUUAUUGGAGUCAGAAUCAAGCGUGCGAAUAGUCAAAUCGAAGAUAUUGAAGAGUAGAACUCAAAUCAAGCAUCAAAAACAACCUGAGAUUCACAGGUUUUGGACGAGACGUGGAUGACCGAAGACGUUCAGAAGGACAAGUGGUGUUCCAAAGCGAAUAAAGAACGAAUCGAGUAAGCGAAGCGAAGUGGCGAAUAGAGUAUAGCUAGAGAUGGUCUAGAUAUUACGAGAUGCAUAGAUUGUGAAAGUGGAAAGAUGAGAUAGAGAUGUGAGACUGGAGUCAGAUUUAAGAAAAGCUUAAAGAUGAGAUGAUUGAUUGAGAUUGUGGAUAAGGCUAAUGCUAGGCGAGGAGACAGAGUUGAGGAGGAGACAGAGUUGAGGAUCCAGUGGUCAGGGAGUGGUGAGGAAAGUUGAUGAGAUUGGUGCAAGCUGGAAUAGUUGACAGUGAUUCUUCUUAUCGAAGAUGAUCUGACUUGGUAAGAAAUAUUGUAUAGUAUUAGUGGUGGAUUCUAAUUUCAAUACUGUAACCUGGAAGCGAUCCUGUUGUUUUGGGGGUUAAAUGUUCUCUUAAAAUUUUCUUAUUAUGGUUUUCAAGUUUGAAAUUCAGGUUUUGAAAUCAUUUGAUUUAUGUUCUCAUUCAAAGUUUUUAUUAAAUGUUUUCAAGUUUUAAAUUCUUUUGGAUUUUCAUUAUCUUUAAAUGAAAAUACCAGGUUUCAAAAGUAUUUUAAAAAGGGUUUUGUGUGGUGACGUCAGAAUCCAGACCCCCGGAUUCUCGGAAUGUCACAGUUGGUAUCAGAGCAACAGGUUACAAGUUAUUGGAAUUUGAAUAUAGAUUAUAGUCUUAAGUUUUAUAGAGAAGAAUGUUGGGUGACCUCGUAUAGAGGUAUUGUGAGACUAUUUAGAAAUAGUCUAGAGAUGCGAUAGAGGUAUAAAAUCUGGUUAGACGAUCAAGUUGAGUGUAUAGGUUUAGAGAGAUUUUGAUUCUUAAGUUUAGACAUAGGAUUUCUAGUUUGUUGAUUAAUUGAGAUGAUGAAUUGUGUGAAAGGUCAAGGUUAGACCUAGAUAGAAGAGUUGGAUAGUGAAUGAUUGAGUUGAGAAUGGUGAAAAUGCAGGGUUCAGAGUAUUCUGACUAUACUGCAUAUUUGAAAUUGGAUUAUUGUAUUGAUUUGAGGAUGAUAUAAAUGCAUGGUUCAUAGUAUGUUGACCAUGUUGGAUAUUUGGAAAAGUAUAUUGUUUUGUGAGAUAUGAAGAGUUAGUGUAAGAUAUGAGUUGUACUGAAUCAGAAGGAGAGAUUUAUAGAUAGAGGUGGAUAGGUGAGAAGUGAAUGAUAGAGAGUAUGUGGAGUUGAGUCCAGCUAUUAGAGGUAAUGUCUGCGAAUAAGUUAGAACGUUAGUCCUCGACGACAACGCUUCGAGCUAAUCGGGGUUUCAAAUGGCAUCAAGGUGGGCCCAUAACCCACAGGUUGAUGAUCCAGACAAUCGAAGAUACGUUACGUGUUUGUGCUAUGGAUUUCAAAGGCAACUGGGAUAAAGUAGAAGAAUGUAAAUUACAUGGGCCAGAGUUAUUACGGACGAUAACGUCUACGAUGACAUCUUACGAGGCUAUUACGAGUCAAAUCGAUUGAUUAUCGAGAACGUUGAAAGGAUGACAUAAAUCGAAUAACGAUUUCGUAAAGUAGAGUGGGAAUUUGAGAAGACUUUGGCAAUACCUCUCUUCAACUAAAGAUUCUUUUGAUUAUAUGUUUUUCAUCAGUGAGUUAUUAUGAUAUCAUUUCAAUAAACGAGAUUUUCAAUUUCUCAAAUUCUAGGAUGAUAAGGAUAUUGAUUAUUGGUGUGAGUUAGUAUUGAAUCGGUGUAUGAUAAAGGCGUGUUUAUGAAGAGACAGUGGAACUCCUUGAUAUUAUUUGAUAUCCCUUGAUAUUCUUCCAUAUUCUUUGAUAUCCCUUAAUAUUCGUUGAUAUUCUUUGACAUUCUUUGAUAUUCCUUGAUAUCUUUUCGAUAUUCCUUAAUAUAUUCCUCGAUAAUCCUUAACAUUCCUUGAUGCUCCUUGAGAUUUCUUGGAUUCUUUCCAUCUGAUUGGGAUGAACAACCCUAUGUAUAGGGGACACAAGGUAUACCUGUCUGUGUGAUAGGAGUUGGAUGGGACGCCAUCACUUGUGUGUGUUGUGAUUACAAGAAGGUUAACAACCUUUAGUAGUGUCUAAUAUGGACACGCAACAUUAAGUUCAUUUGAUCUUAUUGAUCUCCCAGUCACUCUUGUAUUCCAAUGUGACCUAUUUUGAAAAUAUCUUGUUCCUCCGAAAUUCCCAAAGAUUGAUUCUUGGGAAAUGAAUGUUGCAAUCGCGAAAGUUUGACUUUCCUUUUCCAUUAAAGUUAAAGGUAUGCCAAGAUCAAUCAAAGGUGGAUGACGAUAUGAUAUUACGAAGUGGGUACGUUUUAGUUUCUUCGGAGGAUUCCGAGGACGGAAUCCUUAUAAGGGGGGUAGAAUGUAAUAUCCCAUAUUAUUAAAUUCAGAUUUGAUUAUUAUAAAUCUAUUUGUCUAAAUAUUAUUGUUGGCUUUAGUUGAAAAGUGAAUUGAUUAUGUGAAUAGUUUUAUGUGAUGAUACUUGGUCUAUGGAUUAAUAUGGAUUAUACUGAUUAUGCGUCCUCCUUCUUUCUCUGAUUCCGAGGACGGAAUCCCUAUAAGGAGGGUAGAUUGUAAUGACCCGGAUUUUUAAAAUUUAUUUAUUAUUAUAAAAAUGAUUUUUUUUUCAAAGAAGGGAAUAAGAUUUAAUAUUUUAUUCCAGUUUAAUGAGUUUCAAGGUUUUAUAUUUAAACCCCGGGUUAUUGUGUUAUUGAUAAAUGAUUAUAUUUUUUUAAACUGAUUUUCAUAUAUUGUUUUGAAAAUUUUAGAUGAUUAUUAUGUGAAUAUAUGUGUGAUGUGAGUAAGUGGUAUUGGUGGAUUUGUUGGUUAAUUAAUUAUGGUUAAUUAUGAGUAUUAUAUGAUUAAUAUAUGAAUUUUUGUGAAUUUUGUGUUAUCUAGUUUAUUGAGCUGAAUACUCGUAUGUGUUCGUAUUUGAGAGAUUUCAAUUUCUAUAUGCUCAGGAGAAAAUAUAGUUUAUUUGGAUAUUUUCAUAUCGAUUUAUGGAAUGUUAGAUGAUUUUAUAAUCGAUUUACGGAUUUAAUUGCGUAUAUUUAUAUUUAUUUAUUAAUUAUUGGACUUCCGUAAAACUGUUCACUCGUAACGAGGUGGCAAAUUUUCUUCCCGGAAGUUUCAACAAAACUCACCUUUAGCCUAAUUUCAAUAUUCCGGACAUUUUUCGUGUUUUGACUUUUUCGAUCCGGAGUACGGUUUUCCCUGGAGUCGGUCCGGCGGAGUUUUCGGGUACUAAAAUUUGUCGAUAAUUAUCCAGUUUGUCUCGAUAAACGUGAACUGAGAUAUUUUCAUCAUCCUUAUCAUGUAAUAAUGGCAGUGGGACCCGCAGACCAAUAAUUGAGUUAAAAAGCCCCGUUUUGAUGAUUAUCUCGAAAACCAGUACCGAUUGGACCCCGCUUUAUUAGUAUAAAGCUAUUAAAUACGUAUUUUCAUGUCAUAAACGAUCCAAAGGGGUACCAAUUAUUUGUAAAUAUAAAUAUACCUUUCUAGAGCUUAUUUUCACCCGUAAAAUCAUUUCACCAGUUUCUCUGCACGAAUACCGAGAGAAACCGAGCGGUGUUCUUCGUGUUCUUCGUAAUCAAACGUGGAUUUGAAGGCGUUAUUGGAGUCAGAAUCAAGCGUGCGAAUAGUCAAAUCGAAGAUAUUGAAGAGUAGAACUCAAAUCAAGCAUCAAAAACAACCUGAGAUUCACAGGUUUUGGACGAGACGUGGAUGACCGAAGACGUUCAGAAGGACAAGUGGUGUUCCAAAGCGAAUAAAGAACGAAUCGAGUAAGCGAAGCGAAGUGGCGAAUAGAGUAUAGCUAGAGAUGGUCUAGAUAUUACGAGAUGCAUAGAUUGUGAAAGUGGAAAGAUGAGAUAGAGAUGUGAGACUGGAGUCAGAUUUAAGAAAAGCUUAAAGAUGAGAUGAUUGAUUGAGAUUGUGGAUAAGGCUAAUGCUAGGCGAGGAGACAGAGUUGAGGAGGAGACAGAGUUGAGGAUCCAGUGGUCAGGGAGUGGUGAGGAAAGUUGAUGAGAUUGGUGCAAGCUGGAAUAGUUGACAGUGAUUCUUCUUAUCGAAGAUGAUCUGACUUGGUAAGAAAUAUUGUAUAGUAUUAGUGGUGGAUUCUAAUUUCAAUACUGUAACCUGGAAGCGAUCCUGUUGUUUUGGGGGUUAAAUGUUCUCUUAAAAUUUUCUUAUUAUGGUUUUCAAGUUUGAAAUUCAGGUUUUGAAAUCAUUUGAUUUAUGUUCUCAUUCAAAGUUUUUAUUAAAUGUUUUCAAGUUUUAAAUU